GACGAAUGCUGGCGGCGUGCUUAACACAUGCAAGUCGAACGGAAAGGCCCUGCUUUUGUGGGGUGCUCGAGUGGCGAACGGGUGAGUAACACGUGAGUAACCUGCCCUUGACUUUGGGAUAACUUCAGGAAACUGGGGCUAAUACCGGAUAGGAGCUCCUGCUGCAUGGUGGGGGUUGGAAAGUUUCGGCGGUUGGGGAUGGACUCGCGGCUUAUCAGCUUGUUGGUGGGGUAGUGGCUUACCAAGGCUUUGACGGGUAGCCGGCCUGAGAGGGUGACCGGCCACAUUGGGACUGAGAUACGGCCCAGACUCCUACGGGAGGCAGCAGUGGGGAAUAUUGCACAAUGGGCGGAAGCCAGAUGCAGCAACGCCGCGUGCGGGAUGACGGCCUUCGGGUUGUAAACCGCUUUCGCCUGUGACGAAGCGUGAGUGACGGUAAUGGGUAAAGAAGCACCGGCUAACUACGUG
rnacentral:rRNA from 1 species